UACGUAGGGUCCGAGCGUUGUCCGGAAUUAUUGGGCGUAAAGGGCUCGUAGGCGGUUUGUCGCGUCGGGAGUGAAAACCAUGUGCUUAACUCAUGGCUUGCUUUCGAUACGGGCAGACUAGAGGUAUUCAGGGGAGAACGGAAUUCCUGGUGUAGCGGUGAAAUGCGCAGAUAUCAGGAGGAACACCAAUGGCGAAGGCAGCUCGCUGGGACGGUACUGACGCUGAGGCGCGAAAGCGUGGGGAGCAAACAGG
rnacentral:rRNA from 1 species